rnacentral:rRNA from 1 species
UAUGAAUAAGGAUCGGCUAACUCCGUGCCAGCAGCCGCGGUAAUACGGAGGAUCCGAGCGUUAUCCGGAUUUAUUGGGUUUAAAGGGAGCGUAGGUGGACUGGUAAGUCAGUUGUGAAAGUUUGCGGCUCAACCGUAAAAUUGCAGUUGAUACUGUCAGUCUUGAGUACAGUAGAGGUGGGCGGAAUUCGUGGUGUAGCGGUGAAAUGCUUAGAUAUCACGAAGAACUCCGAUUGCGAAGGCAGCUCACUGGACUGCAACUGACACUGAUGCUCGAAAGUGUGGGUAUCAAACAGGAUUAGAUACCCUGGUAGUCCACACAGUAAACGAUGAAUACUCGCUGUUUGCGAUAUACAGUAAGCGGCCAAGCGAAAGCAUUAAGUAUUCCACCUGGGGAGUACGCCGGCAACGGUGAAACUCAAAGGAAUUGACGGGGGCCCGCACAAGCGGAGGAACAUGUGGUUUAAUUCGAUGAUACGCGAGGAACCUUACCCGGGCUUAAAUUGCAGUGGAAUGAUGUGGAAACAUGUCAGUGAGCAAUCACCGCUGUGAAGGUGCUGCAUGGUUGUCGUCAGCUCGUGCCGUGAGGUGUCGGCUUAAGUGCCAUAACGAGCGCAACCCUUAUCUUUAGUUACUAACAGGUUAUGCUGAGGACUCUAGAGAGACUGCCGUCGUAAGAUGUGAGGAAGGUGGGGAUGACGUCAAAUCAGCACGGCCCUUACGUCCGGGGCUACACACGUGUUACAAUGGGGGGUACAGAAGGCAGCUAGCGGGUGACCGUAUGCUAAUCCCAAAAGCCUCUCUCAGUUCGGAUCGAAGUCUGCAACCCGACUUCGUGAAGCUGGAUUCGCUAGUAAUCGCGCAUCAGCCACGGCGCGGUGAAUACGUUCCCGGGCCUUGUACACACCGCCCGUCAAGCCAUGAAAGCCGGGGGUACCUGAAGUACGUAACCGCAAGGAGCGUCCUAGGGUAAAACUGGUGAUUGGGGCUAAGUCGUAACAAGGUAGCCGUACCGGAAGGUGCGGCUG